rnacentral:rRNA from 1 species
CCUACGGGAGGCAGCAGUGGGGAAUAUUGGGCAAUGGGCGCAAGCCUGACCCAGCAACGCCGCGUGAAGGAAGACGGCCCUCGGGUUGUAAACUUCUUUUAUCAGGGACGAAGCAAGUGACGGUACCUGAUGAAUAAGCCACGGCUAACUACGUGCCAGCAGCCGCGGUAAUACGGAGGUGGCAAGCGUUAUCCGGAUUUACUGGGUGUAAAGGGCGUGUAGGCGGGAAAGCAAGUCAGAUGUGAAAACCAUGGGCUCAACCUGUGCCCUGCAUUUGAAACUGUUUGUCUUGAGUACUGGAGAGGCAGGCGGAAUGCCUGGUGUAGCGGUGAAAUGCGUAGAUAUUAGGAGGAACACCAGUGGCGAAGGCGGUCUGCUGAACAGCGACUGACGCUGAGGCGCGAAAGCGUGGGGAGCAAACAGGAUUAGAUACCCCUGUAGUC